CGUAACUCGAUUUAUAAUUAAUUUAGUAACUGUUGCGCGAUUAGACAGAUUGCUGUAAAUAGUGAAAUUAAUUUUCAAAACAAGUUUUUAUGCUUCGAAUUAGUAAGAUAAGCUAAGUAAUGCCUCGUACUCGACUCCGGAAAUGGUCUCGGGUAAGGGGUGUUACAACAUUAAGGAUUGUAAACCUCUCAAAAAGAAGCAAGAUGCCACAACUUCCAAAGCCAAUAUGGUAGAGGACAUUGACUUAGUGACCAUGG
rnacentral:lncRNA from 1 species